AACGGCCAUAUCAUGCUGAAUAUACCGGUUCUCGUUAGAUCACCGAAGUCAAACAUCACUGGGCGCGGUCAGUACUUGGGUGGGUGACCACUUGGGAACACCGCGUGCCGUU
rnacentral:rRNA from 1 species